rnacentral:rRNA from 1 species
UACGUAGGGCGCAAGCGUUGUCCGGAAUUAUUGGGCGUAAAGAGCUCGUAGGCGGUUUGUCGCGUCUGCUGUGAAAACCUAAGGCUCAACCUUGGGCUUGCAGUGGGUACGGGCAGACUAGAGUGCGGUAGGGGUGACUGGAAUUCCUGGUGUAGCGGUGGAAUGCGCAGAUAUCAGGAGGAACACCGAUGGCGAAGGCAGGUCACUGGGCCGCAACUGACGCUGAGGAGCGAAAGCAUGGCGAGCGAACAGG